CAGCAGCCGCGGGAAUACGAAGGGGGCUAGCGUUGCUCGGAAUGACUGGGCGUAAAGGGCGCGUAGGCGGCGAUCAAAGUCAGGCGUGAAAUUCCUGGGCUCAACCUGGGGGCUGCGCUUGAUACUUGGUUGCUUGAGUGGGGAAGAGGGUCGUGGAAUUCCCAGUGUAGAGGUGAAAUUCGUAGAUAUUGGGAAGAACACCAGUGGCGAAGGCGGCUCACUGGACCGACACUGACGCUGAGGCGCGAAAGCGUGGGGAGCAAACAGGAUUAGAGACCCCUGUAGUCCCUGUCUCUUAUAC
rnacentral:rRNA from 1 species